AUGGCACGCAGCUGUGCUGUCUGCCUACAAGGACCUGGCCUGGAGGUGCCCUGCUGCCGAGCAGACCUGUCUUUUGGAAGGUGUGGAGGUUGGCAGCAUGUUGGUUUCCUUUGCAAGAGAUGGGUGAGCUAUAAUUUCAGGGUGUGUUUCAGGGAGUCUUCAGUGUUAGACCUGGCGUAUCCUGGUGGCUGCGAGGCCGAGGGAGGGUGCCAGGGCCCUGAGGUGGGGUGCGAGGCAUUUAACCCGCUGUACUGGUUGUUUUUUGCUUCCAAUCCGAACUGCUGGAAGUUUCCUUAUGGUCCAGGUCCUAUAUUGCUGGUACACCUGCCAGCGACAGCCUCACCUGUAACUUGUUUUCCUUCUGGAACAGCAGGUCCUAAAGCUGUGGUAAGUCUUUUUCUGCCUUCCCUUAACCAUGGCAGUACAUGA
ensembl:lncRNA